CCUACGGGAGGCAGCAGUGAGGAAUAUUGGUCAAUGGACGAGAGUCUGAACCAGCCAAGUAGCGUGAAGGAUGACUGCCCUAUGGGUUGUAAACUUCUUUUAUAAAGGAAUAAAACGAGGCACGUGUGCCUUUUUGCAUGUACUUUAUGAAUAAGGAUCGGCUAACUCCGUGCCAGCAGCCGCGGUAAUACGGAGGAUCCGAGCGUUAUCCGGAUUUAUUGGGUUUAACGGGAGCGUAGAUGGGUUGUUAAGUCAGUUGUGAAAGUUUGCGGCUCAACCGUAAAAUUGCAAUUGAUACUGGCAGUCGUGAGUACAGUUGAGGUAGGCGGAAUUCGUGGUGUAGCGGUGAAAUGCGUAGAUAUCACGAAGAACCCCGAUUGCGAAGGCAGCUUACUAAACUGUGACUGACAUUGAUGCGCGAAAGUGUGGGUAUCAAACAGGAUUAGAUACCCGGGUAGUC
rnacentral:rRNA from 1 species